rnacentral:lncRNA from 1 species
AUGGAAGGAAGCCAAAGGACCCAUCUGGAUCCAUCCUUUCUGAGUUAUGGCUCCUGUUUACAACUGCUGUGUAAAAAGAAGUCUAGAAUUCAGUCUUUAAACUUCAGUCUGGAGCUACCAACAUCCACAGCAAUCUGGUCGUGCCUUGUCUUAUGUGGCAUUGCACUGAUGACUGCUGCCACUGAAGGGAAGGAGAUUUCAUACAGGCAUUGUUGAAGAAAGUUACAUCCUUCCCACCCAUGCCAACUUCCAUUGUAAGUGGUCUAUGUUAUAUGUGGCAGAAAUCUGUUAGGGUGAUGAUAUUUAGCAGACUUCUUUUAAGAGUCUUGAUGUGAAGGUGCUUAACCCAGGUAAGGAUUUGAGGGUACCUUCAUAGCUCUCACACAGAAAAUUGCAUCAUUCUGUUUGAGA